UGAAUGAAAAUAAUGAGAAAAUAAUUUACAAUACCGUACUGUAUUUAUCUAAAAAAAUCUAUGUUGUUCAAGGGUCAACUGUGCUGAUAGGUAUGACCGUUAUGUAGUAAAUCCAUCACUUUUCCUUUAUGGCUUUGGUAUUAUAUGUUGUACUUAGAAAUACUUCUUACGCUCAAUAUUAUAAAGUCAUUCACUCUUUCUUCUGGAACAUUUCAAUGUUUAUUUUAUUUUUACAGAUAAUUCAUCCAUCUGGAAUUGACUUUAGUGUGAGAAUAUAUGCUAGGUACAGUCUCUUAGCACUUGACAUUAUGUCCCAUGCCUCCCCAUCUCAUACCAAAGGGGAUGAAAGGCCAAAAAUGAAGUUUUGUAGACUCCAAGGUUCUUCCAGAAUUAUGACUCUUAGUGCCGCAGUUCUGACAUUUAUCACUCAGUAGUCCGGUCCCAGGAGCAGAAUAGCAGCUGUGGCCUGUAUCAGAACCUGAAAAAUCCCAAGUUACACAAAGGACAGAACCCUUUUACAUUCUUAAAAUUGAGGACCUUAAAGAGCUUCUGCUUAUUACAGUUUUUAUCUAUCAUAUAUCAUAAUAUGCACCCUGUUUUAUACCUGUGGUGAAAAAUCUCCCCCUGUAUUGGAGAAGAGCUAUUAUACAACAGUCAGUUGAUGAUGGACUGGUAUAGAGGUCCCCUCCCAGAUCUCGUUUUCUUUGCUUCUGAGAAAUGUUAUGGACAAGUCGGCAGCAACUCUCCCACGUCCUGUGAGCUCACCAGGUGCAGAUUAUGGAUCGUGCUGCAAGGAUGACACAUAGAACUGAGGCCACUGCACGACUGAGUGCAUGGAGUCCUGUGGCUCCCGCACAAACAGAGAGACUGGGAUGAUACGGGCGUGGCAUGUUGUCCUCCACACAGAGAUCCCUUCUGCCUGCCUUUCUGAGAGCUUCCCUAUAAGAAACUGCACCCAGCGACAACUUGGCCUGGUAAGAACAGGUCUACCAGAUGUUGAAAGUAAAUCUGGUUUGUUCCCCAGAGGAUAAUAUCUAAUUAUCAUGCACACAUAUGCAAUAUAGAAAUUUGAAGUAUGGAAUUAUAUUUGGAGUUUUCUUCAUA